rnacentral:rRNA from 1 species
UACGUAGGGUGCAAGCGUUAAUCGGAAUUACUGGGCGUAAAGCGUGCGCAGGCGGUUUUGUAAGACCGAUGUGAAAUCCCCGGGCUUAACCUGGGAACUGCAUUUGUGACUGCACGGCUAGAGUGUGUCAGAGGGGGGUAGAAUUCCACGUGUAGCAGUGAAAUGCGUAGAUAUGUGGAGGAAUACCGAUGGCGAAGGCAGCCCCCUGGGAUAACACUGACGCUCAUGCACGAAAGCGUGGGGAGCAAACAGG